rnacentral:rRNA from 1 species
AUUGAACGCUGGCGGCACGCCUAACACAUGCAAGUCGAGCGGUAGCAGGACUCGUAGCAAUACGAGUUGCUGACAAGCGGCGGACGGGCGAGUAAUACAUCGGAACGUACCUUAUCGUGGGGGAUAACGCAGCGAAAGCUGUGCUAAUACCGCAUACGCCCGGAGGGGGAAAGCGGGGGAUCGAAAGACCUCGCGCGAUUAGAGCGGCCGAUGCCUGAUUAGCUUGUUGGUGGGGUAAAAGCCCACCAAGGCGACGAUCAGUAGCUGGUCUGAGAGGACGAUCAGCCACACUGGGACUGAGACACGGCCCAGACUCCUACGGGAGGCAGCAGUGGGGAAUUUUGGACAAUGGGGGCAACCCUGAUCCAGCAAUGCCGCGUGAGUGAAGAAGGCCUUCGGGUUGUAAAGCUCUUUUGUCAGGGAAGAAACACCGGCUCUAACACAGUCCGGGAAUGACGGUACCUGAAGAAUAAGCACCGGCUAACUACGUGCCAGCAGCCGCAGUAA